rnacentral:lncRNA from 1 species
AAUGGGUCAUGUAUAACAUUCAAAGAGAGUUCACCCAUCUCAUCAACAAUAAGGUCAUCAAGCCUAGUGGGGACUUCUACGAACGUGUGGAACAAGUGGUGACUCGGGUUUACCCACAACAAUAGCUUCAAACUUGAAAUAAGAUACAUUUGUAUUCUUUAUAUGCUUCUAUGAAAUUUUGACACUUUGUAAUCAAUGUCGUGAAGUGAGAUACACUUGUAUUCUUUAUAUUGCUUUAAAUGAUGUGGCUUUAUAUACAUUUGUAUGCUUUAAAUGAUGUGGCUGUAUAUUUUUCUGUGCUGUGCUGUGAUGUAUUCAAAUAUAUAUUUUUCUGUGUAUUUUUUGUGGUUUUAAUUUUUUUUUAAUUACUGAAAAUGUAUCAGUGUCGGUCGCUCGCCCGACACUGAUGUGGCAAAGCGACCGUGACUGAUGUACCACCAUCAUCAGUGACGGUCACGUUUCCGCACCCGCCACUGAUGAUGAUAGGUA